CAGCCGCCGCGGUAACACGUAGGGUGCGAGCGUUAAUCGGAAUUACUGGGCGUAAAGCGUGCGCAGGCGGUGAUGUAAGACAGUUGUGAAAUCCCCGGGCUCAACCUGGGAACUGCAUCUGUGACUGCAUCGCUGGAGUGCGGCAGAGGGGGAUGGAAUUCCGCGUGUAGCAGUGAAAUGCGUGGAUAUGCGGAGGAACACCGAUGGCGAAGGCAAUCCCCUGGGCCUGCACUGACGCUCAUGCACGAAAGCGUGGGGAGCAAACAGGAUUAGAGACCCGCGUAGUCCCUGUCUCUUAUAC
rnacentral:rRNA from 1 species